AGGACGAACGCUGGCGGCGUGCCUAACACAUGCAAGUCGAACGCUCUCCAUUCAGUAGCAAUACUGAUGAAGAGAGAGUGGCGAACGGGUGAGUAGCACGUGAGCAACCUGCCCCGAAGACUGGGACAACACCAGGAAACCGGUGCUAAUACCGGAUAUCCCUAUCGGACCGCAUGAUCUGAUAAGGAAAUGGAUUCCGCUUCGGGAGGGCUCGCGGCCUAUUAGCUAGUUGGUGAGGUAAUAGCUCACCAAGGCAUCGACGGGUAGCUGGUCUGAGAGGACGACCAGCCACACUGGGACUGAGACACGGCCCAGACUCCUACGGGAGGCAGCAGUGGGGAAUAUUGGACAAUGGGGGCAACCCUGAUCCAGCGACGCCGCGUGUGUGAAGAAGGCCUGCGGGUUGUAAAGCACUUUUAGUGGGAUGAAAAGCUCAGGGUUAACACCUCUGGGUCUUGACCUAACCACAGAAAAGCACCGGCUAACU
rnacentral:rRNA from 1 species